rnacentral:lncRNA from 1 species
AAGGAUUCUCUCAUUACAUGUUUUCGCCCAGCUGAGAAUGAGGGAUGAAGGACGCGACAACGGAAAAUCGUUUCAUAUUACCUACAUUGCCUUUCUCUCAGCAGAAAAUUUUGCGAAUUCCAUGGCAGGACUACAGUUGCCCGUGUAAUUCUGCCAGGAAAUCUAGUGGUGCGGCUCGACAGAAACAGAAAACGAGUUCCUACGUCUGGAGCUAUGCACAGGUGUUCUCCAACGUUCGCCCAGUUUGCCGGACAAGUCGCGCUGAAGUCUCUGGGAGGCGCUGGAAACAAAAACAUCUCACGUUGUCGUGAAACCACUUAAAAUGUGGAGAAUGUACCUGUCAUGCACGGCCAAGUCGCCUGACAUUUCCAAGCAAAUUCUUCUUUCUGCAAAGCCGAACUGUCUUUGAAAUUCGAAGCACGGCAGCUGGAGUUAUGCCGAUCGAAGAAUGCGUGUGUGUACCCCCAGGAAUGAGUCUAGCCUCGGAUCUUACGGGCCAGUGUAUUCCACAGGAGGAGCACAUAGUCCUUCAGUGCCGCGUAGGGAGAGUAUGUUACCACACACCAUAAAGGACCCUUACCAUCUUGUGUUUCAAUCCAGUCAACCGGGCACGUUGCUGUGUAGUCCCUUCUGAUUCCUUCCGUAUUGGCGACAGGGUCACCA